GACAACUCUCAACAACGGAUAUCUUGGCUCCCGUAACGAUGAAGAACGCAGCGAAAUGCGAAACGUAGUGUGAAUUGCAGAAUUCCGUGAACCAUCGAAUCUUUGAACGCAAAUUGCGCUCGAGGCUUCGGCCAAGAGCAUGUCUGCCUCAGCGUCGGCU
rnacentral:rRNA from 1 species